rfam:Nelumbo nucifera unplaced genomic scaffold scaffold00219, whole genome shotgun sequence
AGGCCAUGGUGUGGGCACUUUCUCAACAACUCUUUCAUUCUCUCCCAAGACUCGUGAAUUUGUUCACCCGAUGUUUGGGUGAAUCCAGUGAUGGCUCUUCUCAUGGU